UUAAGAAUAACUCCCAAUUUCUGUGAAUGGUGGUGUCAUUUAUAGAGCUGAGGAAGACCGGGGUUGUUGGAGCACAUUUUGAUAGACGUUGAAGACAUUGAUUUUAGCAUUGGAUAUGUUGAGUCUGAGAAAUCUGUGGCUUUGUUUAGUAGGCAAGUUGGCUGUAUUGAUAUAACGUUCAGAAAAGUGAGCUAGAGUUACUGAUUUUGGAAUCAGCAAUGGAAAGAUGGUAACUGAAGUCACGAGAGUGGGUAA
rnacentral:lncRNA from 1 species